rnacentral:rRNA from 1 species
UACAGAGGGUGCGAGCGUUGUUCGGAAUUAUUGGGCGUAAAGGGCGCGUAGGCGGCGCCACAAGUCACUUGUGAAAACUCUGGGCUCAACUCAGAGCCUGCAAGCGAAACUGUGGUGCUGGAGUAUGGGAGAGGUGCGUGGAAUUCCCGGUGUAGCGGUGAAAUGCGCAGAUAUCGGGAGGAACACCAGUGGCGAAGGCGGCUUUCUGGCCUGUUCUUGACGCUGAGGCGCGAAAGCCAGGGGAGCGAACGGG